rnacentral:lncRNA from 1 species
UUUUUUUUUUUUUUUUUUUGUCCCCAAAGAUAACUAUGGUUAACUCUCUUAUCCGUGAUCCUGGAAAACUGGGAAUGACCACAAAGACAGUAGGAAUAAAACUCAUAGACAGCUAUCCAGUUUUAUUUACAAGCUUUAUGAGGCAUAAAUAAGCUUCUGAAAACCAGUAUCGAGAAAGGCUACAUCUGAGCAAGCUUGAAUCCCCAUUCUGCUCCCACAGAGGUGUGGUCAGAGGCAUGAUUAAGAAGCAUGAUUAAGAUCCGUAUGCUUUGUUAGCCCCAAACAAAUGAUCCCCAGUCUUUAAACAUCAUGACUCUUUCUUUCCCUCAACCACCACUGAAAGAGCCACAGCAGUUCCCAGAAAGACCAUUUUGUUUAUUUCCUAUUUCUGUCAAAUGUUUUCAUUUUAUCUAUUUAUCUAUCCAUCCCGUCCACAUUGACAAGAUCAAGCGAAUAAUGUUUAUGCCCUAAUGGACUCUGCCCUUUUUGUUCAUUUAAUACUUUGAGUAUUUCCUAUUUCAGUAUGGGAAAACUCUUCAGAAACAUGAUUUUUAAAUUAUGAGCUUGAUUUUACAAAGGCAGAGGUAGAUCCAAUUAGAUUUUUACUUACUUGGGAAAAAUCAGGAGUUAAUUUAGAAAAUUCUCAUAUUUAAAAACUCAAUUGCCAGGUUGUGAGGGCUAAAUUUAAUGAACUUACCACUUAUAUUAUCAGGAAAAUAAUCACUAAGUCUGCUAGAGAAGACAUCUGUUAAAAUUGACUGUGGCUCUGAGAGUUUACCUCUACAAGAAAGGAACAAAUAUACAGAGGUUUCGCUUACCUAAGUUAGAAUUAGCCGUGAAAAAACAUUCCACACCUAAUUGUUUCUAAUUUCUUUUUUGCUUUUUAAAAUUUUUUAUCAUUUUACUUGCUUUCUUUUUUUUUAACUUUAUCUUCUCUCCUUUUUCUUGAACCCUCAACAGCAUCUGUAUUGUGUACUAAGUCAUGUUAAUGGAUUCCAUAGAUAAUUUCCAAAGUUGAAAAGGCCUUUGAUUUGAGAGAAAUUGAAGCAAUUUUGAAAGAAGCCGAAGAGGUGUAUAUUAGAAUCCUCCCCAUGCACAUGAAUAGUGAGUGACAUUUGAAUUUGACAGAAAGAGUGAAAAGAUCAAGUUGAAAUGUGGCACUAGAGAAGGGAAUGCCGCUUUACCCGUGCCUUCUCUGUUUGCUGAGAGAAGAUAUUCUGAAACUUUGAAUGAGAAGUAAAGGGCAUUAGCAUCAAGUGAGAGUACAGGAGUCAACCUGCAUUGGCAAAUAACAAAGUCAUACGGCUAAACUCCAGGAAGACCUUGAAGCUAAGAUCCAAGAUCACAGGCUUAAAAAUAAGUAACUUUUGUUAAAGAAGAGUGUGUAGGUGACCAAAGUUGAAUUUGCACAAUAAAGGAGAGAUCACAGAAAGGAGACUCUGAAGGAGUAAGGCUACCUGGACUGGUUCCGGGAGUCUAACUCAGGAGGCUGGGCUAGUCUCAGAGUCUAUAAAAAUGAUUUUGGAGAAGUGAGCAACUUACACUUCAGCUUUAGAAAAAAGUGUGAGGACACCUAUAUAGACAUUUAUUUCCUUUAAAGGAUGGACUCAUCGCUGCAGUUAUAUAUAUUUAUUCUUACUAAUAAGGGCUGUGUUUCCCCUUUGAUUCUCUUCUUAAAAUGUAGGGCACCUAUGGCUCACCAUUUAUUCAUAGCUGAACACCAGGAUUCAAAUUGUAGGUUCAGAUAUCACAGCAUUAGACUCACUUGGAAUGAAGAAUAAUUAGAUAGGGAACUACUCAUUGAAUUUACCUCCUCGAAAGCCAUGGUCAGUAGUUAGUUGGUUAUAAAUAGUAUUUCUGCCUUAGAUUUGUUUGAUUCUGUUAGAAUAAGAACGCGUUUGUGUUUGGAAAUCUAAAAAUAAGUUUAAAAAUAGAAAAUAAAUUAUAGUGUGAGAAAAAAAUAGCAGAGGCGAUGUUGAAAAAAGAAUCUUAAUUAGGGAAUAAAUUAAACAUGCCUAAUAGUAGUGUUUACCUGCAAUACAUAAAAUUGGUUCAGAAAGUGUAGCACAAUGGUUAUGAGAACUUGGAUCUACUGGGUCAUCCUGCCUAAAUUGAAGCCUAAGUUUGCCAGGAAAUAGCUGAGGGAUCUUGGGACAGUUCUUCAUUUAUAAACUUAGAAUAAUAAUAUAUGUACACCUAAUAGGGUUGUUUUGAAAAUUACAUGAGCUAUUUGUAAAGCAAUUAGCACAUGGCAUGGCACUUGGUAAGCCCUCUGACAAUGCUUAUUCAUUUAUGAAGCAGAAAAGGCCUGUGUUAGCUCAGGUACUUUGAGAAGCAGAUGCCAGAGAUGGGGAUUACACACGCAGGAGAUUUAUUAUAGAGGAGAACAUCUGUGAAGGAUAAAGAGAAGGAAGCAGGAGUAGCAGGGAAAGGCUUCGGACCAUAAUAUAGGUCUGACACCUAUGAAUGAAGGGGAAGAAGGAAGGUAGAUUGAGUAGGAAAAGACUCAGACUACUGCACAGUUCCAAGAAAGUUUGGGGCAAGUUGACUUAGAGGAGUGAAGCCAAAGUCAUCUGUUGGAGGAGUCUUGUCCCAUGGGAGUGAGCCUGUACAGUCAAUUGCUGGAAACAUUCCAGAAGUCAGGGCUCUGUGUGAAUGUGGUAGUAGAUCCAGAGAGAUAGCACCUGGAGAUAUUGGGGCCUGCAGUAGGAGAUGCAAGUCGUUCACUUCUGUGAUUGCCACAGGGGCAUGUUUGAGCUGGCACUUUGGCACAAUAGCUAUAACUCAUUAGUAUCGACUGAUUAAGGCAUUCCAUCAUUCUAGUUCUCUGGCCGUGUUGGUUCAGGGUACUCUGUCUCUGAACCAACAUCUUAUCACUUAUGAAAUGGGUUACAUAAAAAGCAUUAUACACUUAUUUCAGGAUGGAUUUAAAGAUGGGAGAUAUUACAUGUAGAAGCUUCUCUUUUAAAAUGAAAUGUGCUUAGGGAAUAUAAAAUAGCACAAAAAUAUUUCCUUUAGGUAUUUUAUAAUUCAAAAAUGUCUUUCUACUAGUCUGGCCUUUCAAUUAGCCUAACCUUAUAAGACUUUAUUGUAAUUAAUUCCACAUGAAAACACGCAUCUGUGGAAACAAAUAGACUCUCUUAUCUUUGAAAUUACUAAGAAUUUAAGGUUUACCCCCAGAAUGUUUUAUUUGACAAUUAUUGUAAAUAUACAUGAUAGUGAAUUGCCUUCACUAUUCAAUAUAUAGAUUGUGGAACCUGAAGAAUUUAACUCACUGAAUUCCUGGGACUCAGGAAUACUGUUAAGUGAUAUGUAGUUGUUCAUAAGUGUAUCAUGGGGUCUCACAAAAUGAUCAGAACACAGAAGGCUCUCAAUAAGUAUUUGUUGAGUGAUUCAAUGAAUCAAUUGGCUUCUUAUCUUUUUUAGGUUUGUCUCUGUGACCUUUCCUCACAGAGAUUAGGGACCCUAAACAUAAAAGCCUAGAAGGAAACAUGAUGGAAGGCCAAAUCCCUGAUGCUUAUAGAAAUGAGAAAGGGAUGGGUCUGGUAUUUGGACCUCAUUAAAUCAUAGACAUGAUAGAAUCUUUGGAGCUUAUUUAAUUCUACUUUGCUUUAUAGCAGAUUUUCCCAACAUGGGCCAGAUAAUUCUUUCUUGUGGGGAGCUACCCAUGCCUUGAGGGAUGUUUAGCGGCAUCUCUGGCCUCUACCCACCGGAUGCCAGUAGCAUGCCCUCUAUUCUCCUAUUGUGACAAUAAAAAUGUAUUCAGAAUUGCUACAUGUCCCCUGGGGCACAAAAGUCAUCCUCAGUUGAGAUGGCUGUUCCAGCUAUCAGAUGACCAAUGAAACCUUGAAUAAGUUACCAAAAUUUUUGGCAAGCGAGUACCACAACUCAUCCUAGGACUAAGUGUCCAUCUGCUUCUUUUUCAACUAUCUGACACCGCCUCUCUGGCUCAAUAUAUGACUAAAUAUGCCUCCAACACAAUUGCUGUUAUUUUAUCAUGACUAUCCAUAUUUAUUCAUGGCAUUCUUCCACUUUGUAGGCUGUUUGAUAUUAUACACAUUUUACUGCAAGAAAGGCAAGGCUUGAUAUUUCUUUCAGUACUGGGUUAAAAAUGAAGUUCCUUCCGGAGGUGCAAGGGGCAUGUUUUGAAGCCCAGAAUUGACAGGGGAGAGAGAGUUCAACAAUCUUUCUCUUAAGGACUGACUUGGAAAUGUAUUAUGCUUUCUUUGCCAAGCUUACACUAAAAUAGAAAAAUAUAUCUUUACCCAGAGAUUUAUUAAAAAAAAAAAAAAAAAAA